CUAUGUCAGUGGUUCUCAACCUUCCUAAUGCUGUGACCCUUUAAUACAGUUCCUCAUGUUGUGGUGACCCCCAACCAUAAAAUUAUGGCUUGGUUCCUAAGACCAUCGAAAAUAUAUGUUAUCUAGUGGUAUUAG